GACGAACGCUGGCGGCGUGCUUAACACAUGCAAGUCGAACGGAAAGGCCCUGCUUUUGUGGGGUGCUCGAGUGGCGAACGGGUGAGUAACACGUGAGUAACCUGCCCUUGACUUUGGGAUAACUUCAGGAAACAGGGGCUAAUACCGGAUAGGAGCUCCUGCUGCAUGGUGGGGGUUGGAAAGUUUCGGCGGUUGGGGAUGGACUCGCGGCUUAUCAGCUUGUUGGUGGGGUAGUGGCUUACCAAGGCUUUGACGGGUAGCCGGCCUGAGAGGGUGACCGGCCACAUUGGGACUGAGAUACGGACCAGACUCCUACGGGAGGCAGCAGUGGGGAAUAUUGCACAAUGGGCGGAAGCCUGAUGCAGCAACGCCGCGUGCGGGAUGACGGCCUUCGGGUUGUAAACCGCUUUCGCCUGUGACGAAGCGUGAGUGACGGUAAUGGGUAAAGAAGCACCGGCUAACUACGUG
rnacentral:rRNA from 1 species